rnacentral:rRNA from 1 species
CCUACGGGAGGCAGCAGUGAGGAAUAUUGGACAAUGGGCGCAAGCCUGAUCCAGCCAUGCCGCGUGCAGGAAGACGGUCCUAUGGAUUGUAAACUGCUUUUAUACAGGAAGAAACACCUCUACGUGUAGAGACUUGACGGUACUGUAUGAAUAAGCAUCGGCUAACUCCGUGCCAGCAGCCGCGGUAAUACGGAGGAUGCAAGCGUUAUCCGGAAUCAUUGGGUUUAAAGGGUCCGUAGGCGGUUUAAUAAGUCAGUGGUGAAAGCCCAUCGCUCAACGAUGGAACGGCCAUUGAUACUGUUAAACUUGAAUUAUUAGGAAGUAACUAGAAUAUGUAGUGUAGCGGUGAAAUGCUUAGAGAUUACAUGGAAUACCAAUUGCGAAGGCAGGUUACUACUAAUAUAUUGACGCUGAUGGACGAAAGCGUGGGGAGCGAACAGGAUUAGAUACCUGGUAGUCCACGCCGUAAACGAUGGAUACUAGCUGUUCGGAGCAAUCUGAGUGGNGAGAGAAAGAGAGUAAGUAAUACCACCGUCGGGGUAGGGUUACGGUUCGGUUCGAAAGAAAGUUAAGAAACGUUAACAAAGUUAAAGUUAAGUUAGGUUACGGUUCGGUUAGGAGACGUUACCGACCGGAACGGACCGAACCGAACGGGAAGGGGAAGGGUAAGGGAG